rnacentral:rRNA from 1 species
UACGGGGGGGGCAAGCGUUGUUCGGAAUUACUGGGCGUAAAGGGCUCGUAGGCGGCCAACUAAGUCAGACGUGAAAUCCCUCGGCUUAACCGGGGAACUGCGUCUGAUACUGGAUGGCUUGAGUUUGGGAGAGGGAUGCGGAAUUCCAGGUGUAGCGGUGAAAUGCGUAGAUAUCUGGAGGAACACCGGUGGCGAAGGCGGUAUCCUGGACCAACACUGACGCUGAGUGAGCGAAAGCCAGGGGAGCAAACGGG